AUUCGUCUUCGGGGCAGGGUGUAAUUCCCGACCGGCGGUAAUGAAUGAUUUCAUUCUAAGCCCGCGAGCCUGUUGUUUGGGCAGGAUUUGGUGAGAUUCCAAAGCCGACAGUAUAGUCUGGAUGGGAGGAGAUGAAG
rnacentral:ncRNA from 2 species